AAAAACCUCAGUCCUCUAUUUUAUCUUCUUCUCCGUUCGUGAACAAAAAAAAAAAAAAAACUUGUCUCCAUUACUUCAAUCGAGCUUCUUCAUCCUCCAUCUUCUUCUAUUAUGGGUCAUCUCUUUCUCUAAGUUUCCCUUUAAUCGAUUUACUGAAAUCGAAUCAGCGAAACUAAAUCUAGAGAUUGAAAAGUAUUAGCGGAGGAGGAGACGGAGCCACGACGGAGAUUCUGCCGGAGUUUCAGUGACGGUAACAUCGGCUGCCUUUCUGCAAGCCUGCUACUCUGUUUCUUUUGUAGAAGAAGCAGACAUUUCUGGUGCUUCUGAUUCCAAGGAGAUUUUCUAGGGUUUGUGAUUUCUGAUCUUUGUUUCCAGAGCAACCUGAGUUUGACGAUGAGAUUAAGGAAAUCGUUGUGAAGUUUAACUUCAGGUAACCUGUUGCCUCUGAGGUAAGACUCUUUUCUUUUGGCUCUUGUGUUGAAGAUGGCUUAAAAAAUUGAGUGUUGACCCUCUAAGCAUGAACACAGUCUCAGGCUUAUGAUGUUUGUAUCUGAGGGGAAAUUGGAUUUGUUUGCAAUAGGUAGAUCGAUAACUGGUUCUGGGCUAUGGAGAUAUAUGAAUCCAGCGUAUCAUCUCAAAAGGCCGAAGCAUUUUGGCAUUGCUUUUCAUUGUGUUCGUCUCUGUUUCUAUGGACGUUUGGGAUCGUAUAUAUCUUGCCCGAGAAAAUGAGUUAUGUUUUGUAUGAAUAUCUUUUGUAAGAGACAGUUUUAGUAUCAUGUAAGCAUUAGCUUAUGCUGAUUUUUUAUGUUAGGGAGCGUAAAGCUGUUCGGUUCGUUGAUGAUGGCCAGAGUUCGUUCCUUUGGUUUAGAACAAUUUUAAAGCUCAUGUCUGAACCAAUUUUAAAGCUUAUGUUUCUCUUAAUUAUCAGGUAUGCAUGUUUAUUUCUUCUUUCUUCGAGAGUGCAUUCUCAUACACAAGACUGAGGAGCUUGUCUUGUGUCUGAAUUGCCUUUUGCUGUGACUGGACUGUAUUGAAACUGCAGUUUGAUAUCUUGUGAUGACUGAGCCCAUCUUAAAGGCUGCUAGGUAUUGAUUCGGUUGGAAUGGUGUAGAGCCUGAUGAGUGACGAAGCUUCAAGGGUUGCGAGUGCCAGAGUACAGAAAAUGGAAUCCUUCAUUUUGAUUUACAUUUUGCACUGCAAAUUAUGUGACAAUUAACACUUCAGCAAUAAUAAAUUUGAAAAAAAAAACAAUUUUUUUU